rnacentral:rRNA from 1 species
AGUUAGUGGCGGACGGGUGAGUAACGCGUGGAAAACCUGCCGUAUACUGGGGGAUAACACUUAGAAAUAGGUGCUAAUACCGCAUAAGCGCACGGGGCUGCAUGGCCCAGUGUGAAAAACUCCGGUGGUAUAAGAUGGACCCGCGUCUGAUUAGCUUGUUGGCGGGGUAACGGCCCACCAAGGCGACGAUCAGUAGCCGGCCUGAGAGGGUGGACGGCCACAUUGGGACUGAGACACGGACCAAACUCCUACGGGAGGCAGCAG